ensembl:miRNA
UAGCUCCCACCCCCUGUAACAGCAACUCCAUGUGGAAUGCUCAGCUCUUUCCAGUGGGGCUGCUGUUAUCUGGGGUGGGAGCUGG